ACACUAUCAUUAACUGAAUCCAUAGGUUAAUGAGGCGAACCGGGGGAACUGAAACAUCUAAGUACCCCGAGGAAAAGAAAUCAACCGAGAUUCCCCCAGUAGCGGCGAGCGAACGGGGAGCAGCCCAGAGCCUGAAUCAGUGUGUGUGUUAGUGGAAGCGUCUGGAAAGGCGCGCGAUACAGGGUGACAGCCCCGUACACAAAAAUGCACAUGCUGUGAGCUCGAUGAGUAGGGCGGGACACGUGGUAUCCUGUCUGAAUAUGGGGGGACCAUCCUCCAAGGCUAAAUACUCCUGACUGACCGAUAGUGAACCAGUACCGUGAGGGAAAGGCGAAAAGAACCCCGGCGAGGGGAGUGAAAAAGAACCUGAAACCGUGUACGUACAAGCAGUGGGAGCACGCUUAGGCGUGUGACUGCGUACCUUUUGUAUAAUGGGUCAGCGACUUAUAUUCUGUAGCAAGGUUAACCGAAUAGGGGAGCCGAAGGGAAACCGAGUCUUAACUGGGCGUUAAGUUGCAGGGUAUAGACCCGAAACCCGGUGAUCUAGCCAUGGGCAGGUUGAAGGUUGGGUAACACUAACUGGAGGACCGAACCGACUAAUGUUGAAAAAUUAGCGGAUGACUUGUGGCUGGGGGUGAAAGGCCAAUCAAACCGGGAGAUAGCUGGUUCUCCCCGAAAGCUAUUUAGGUAGCGCCUCGUGAAUUCAUCUCCGGGGGUAGAGCACUGUUUCGGCAAGGGGGUCAUCCCGACUUACCAACCCGAUGCAAACUGCGAAUACCGGAGAAUGUUAUCACGGGAGACACACGGCGGGUGCUAACGUCCGUCGUGAAGAGGGAAACAACCCAGACCGCCAGCUAAGGUCCCAAAGUCAUGGUUAAGUGGGAAACGAUGUGGGAAGGCCCAGACAGCCAGGAUGUUGGCUUAGAAGCAGCCAUCAUUUAAAGAAAGCGUAAUAGCUCACUGGUCGAGUCGGCCUGCGCGGAAGAUGUAACGGGGCUAAACCAUGCACCGAAGCUGCGGCAGCGACGCUUAUGCGUUGUUGGGUAGGGGAGCGUUCUGUAAGCCUGUGAAGGUGUGCUGUGAGGCAUGCUGGAGGUAUCAGAAGUGCGAAUGCUGACAUAAGUAACGAUAAAGCGGGUGAAAAGCCCGCUCGCCGGAAGACCAAGGGUUCCUGUCCAACGUUAAUCGGGGCAGGGUGAGUCGACCCCUAAGGCGAGGCCGAAAGGCGUAGUCGAUGGGAAACAGGUUAAUAUUCCUGUACUUGGUGUUACUGCGAAGGGGGGACGGAGAAGGCUAUGUUGGCCGGGCGACGGUUGUCCCGGUUUAAGCGUGUAGGCUGGUUUUCCAGGCAAAUCCGGAAAAUCAAGGCUGAGGCGUGAUGACGAGGCACUACGGUGCUGAAGCAACAAAUGCCCUGCUUCCAGGAAAAGCCUCUAAGCAUCAGGUAACAUCAAAUCGUACCCCAAACCGACACAGGUGGUCAGGUAGAGAAUACCAAGGCGCUUGAGAGAACUCGGGUGAAGGAACUAGGCAAAAUGGUGCCGUAACUUCGGGAGAAGGCACGCUGAUAUGUAGGUGAAGUCCCUCGCGGAUGGAGCUGAAAUCAGUCGAAGAUACCAGCUGGCUGCAACUGUUUAUUAAAAACACAGCACUGUGCAAACACGAAAGUGGACGUAUACGGUGUGACGCCUGCCCGGUGCCGGAAGGUUAAUUGAUGGGGUCAGCGCAAGCGAAGCUCUUGAUCGAAGCCCCGGUAAACGGCGGCCGUAACUAUAACGGUCCUAAGGUAGCGAAAUUCCUUGUCGGGUAAGUUCCGACCUGCACGAAUGGCGUAAUGAUGGCCAGGCUGUCUCCACCCGAGACUCAGUGAAAUUGAACUCGCUGUGAAGAUGCAGUGUACCCGCGGCAAGACGGAAAGACCCCGUGAACCUUUACUAUAGCUUGACACUGAACAUUGAGCCUUGAUGUGUAGGAUAGGUGGGAGGCUUUGAAGUGUGGACGCCAGUCUGCAUGGAGCCGACCUUGAAAUACCACCCUUUAAUGUUUGAUGUUCUAACGUUGACCCGUAAUCCGGGUUGCGGACAGUGUCUGGUGGGUAGUUUGACUGGGGCGGUCUCCUCCUAAAGAGUAACGGAGGAGCACGAAGGUUGGCUAAUCCUGGUCGGACAUCAGGAGGUUAGUGCAAUGGCAUAAGCCAGCUUGACUGCGAGCGUGACGGCGCGAGCAGGUGCGAAAGCAGGUCAUAGUGAUCCGGUGGUUCUGAAUGGAAGGGCCAUCGCUCAACGGAUAAAAGGUACUCCGGGGAUAACAGGCUGAUACCGCCCAAGAGUUCAUAUCGACGGCGGUGUUUGGCACCUCGAUGUCGGCUCAUCACAUCCUGGGGCUGAAGUAGGUCCCAAGGGUAUGGCUGUUCGCCAUUUAAAGUGGUACGCGAGCUGGGUUUAGAACGUCGUGAGACAGUUCGGUCCCUAUCUGCCGUGGGCGCUGGAGAACUGAGGGGGGCUGCUCCUAGUACGAGAGGACCGGAGUGGACGCAUCACUGGUGUUCGGGUUGUCAUGCCAAUGGCACUGCCCGGUAGCUAAAUGCGGAAGAGAUAAGUGCUGAAAGCAUCUAAGCACGAAACUUGCCCCGAGAUGAGUUCUCCCUGACUCCUUGAGAGUCCUGAAGGAACGUUGAAGACGACGACGUUGAUAGGCCGGGUGUGUAAGCGCAGCGAUGCGUUGAGCUAACCGGUACUAAUGAACCGUGAGGCUUAACCUU
rnacentral:rRNA from 1 species